rnacentral:tRNA from 2 species
GCGCCUGUAGCCUAAUGGAUAGGGCACCAGUCUUCGGAACUGGGUUUGUGGAGGUUCGAUUCCUCCCAGGCGCACAA